GUAACACGUGGGAACCUUCCUAGGGGUACGGAACAACUCAGGGAAACUUGGGCUAAUACCGUAUACGUCCGUGAGGAGAAAGAUUUAUCGCCCUUAGACGGGCCCGCGUCGGAUUAGCUAGUUGGUGGGGUAACGGCCUACCAAGGCGACGAUCCGUAGCUGAUCUUAGAGGAUGAUCAGCCACACUGGGACUGAGACACGGCCCAGACUCCUACGGGAGGCAGCAGUGGGGAAUCUUGGACAAUGGGCGCAAGCCUGAUCCAGCCAUGCCGCGUGAGUGAAGAAGGUCUUCGGAUUGUAAAGCUCUUUUGCCAGGGACGAUAAUGACGGUACCUGGAGAAUAAGCCCCGGCAAACUUCGUGCCAGCAGCCGCGGUAAUACGAAGGGGGCUAGCGUUGUUCGGAAUUACUGGGCGUAAAGCGCACGUAGGCGGGUCGUUAAGUCAGGGGUGAAAUCCCGGAGCUCAACUCCGGAACUGCCUUUGAUACUGGCGAUCUAGAGAUCGGAAGAGGUGAGUGGAAUUCCCAGUGUAGAGGUGAAAUUCGUAGAUAUUGGGAAGAACACCAGUGGCGAAGGCGGCUCACUGGUCCGAUACUGACGCUGAGGUG
rnacentral:rRNA from 1 species